rnacentral:lncRNA from 1 species
UCAGGUGUUCCUCAUGGUCUUUCUCGUUCUUCGAGUAGGUCGAGUCAUCAUCUAUGAAAACUAAGACAAAUUGGUGCAUUGAUCAAUCCGAAAGGCACCACUACGAACUCAUAAUGGCCAAUCUGGUUGUGAAGACCGUCUUAGGUACAUCUUCUGGUCAAAAAUUUAGUAGGUGGUAUCCAAGUCUCAAAUAUAUCUUUGAGAAUGCACUCGAUCCUCUGAGCACUAAAAAAAUGUCAUCUAUCCUCGACAAAUGAUCAAUAUAGGAUACUUUUUCUUAAGUGUUACUUUGCUAAAUUCUCAUCCCCUUUUUCCUACCUAUGUUAAUCCCACGGGGACUUAUCAGCUUAUUUCUUUCUAGCUUUCCGUGGCUUUCUAACGUGAC